GAUUUCUGGUGUGAGGGGUUUCGCCCGCCAUGGUUUCAUGUGUGAGUGCCGAAGGCUCCGCCGCCAUCCUUCUAGACAGGCUUCGACCGCUUCAUUGCGGCCGAAGACGAUCUAGAUCAUUUACUUUGAAAAAAUUAGAGUGUUUCAAGCAGGCGUUGCAGCUAUGAAUACAUUAGCAUGGAAUAAUAAGUUAGGACUUCGGUUCUAUUUUGUUGGUUUCUAGAGCUGAAGUAAUGAUUGAUAGGGAUAGUUGGGGGUGCUAGUAUUCAGUGGCCAGAGGUGAAAUUCUCGGAUUCCCUGAAGACUAACUUAUGCGAAAGCAUU
rnacentral:rRNA from 1 species